AACGCACAUUGCGCCUCUUGGUAUUCCAGGAGGCACGCCUGUUCGAGCGCCAUUACAAACUCCAAGCUCGGCUUGAUGUUGGGUGAUGUGGGACAUGUACUUGAAUAUGAGAUCACACACCUGGAACGCGUUGGCGCCGACGGCGAACCACGAGCGUAGCAAGACGAAAGUCAUCGCAUCGUUGGGAUCGUCGGACGGUCUGCCUUGUCGGUACGACAUUGUAGUCAAACACUUGCACUAGUUUGGCCUCGGAUCAGGCGGGGAUACCCGCUGAACUUAA
rnacentral:misc_RNA from 1 species